UACGUAGGUGGCAAGCGUUGUCCGGAUUUACUGGGCGUAAAGAGCGCGCAGGCGGUCGUGCAAGUCGCGUGUGAAAGCCCCCGGCUCAACUGGGGAGGGUCACGCGAUACUGCUCGACUCGAAGGCAGGAGAGGGAAGUGGAAUUCCCGGUGUAGUGGUGAAAUGCGUAGAUAUCGGGAGGAACACCUGUGGCGAAAGGCGGCUCACUGGACCAUAACUGACGCUGAUGCACGAAAGCUGGGGGAGCAAACAGG
rnacentral:rRNA from 1 species